GUGAAUCAUCAAAUCUUUGAACGCAAAUUGCACUUUCUGGUAUUCCGGAAAGUAUGCCUGUUUGAGGGUCAGUGAAAUAAAAAUCGGUGUUGUUGCUGCCUUUCGUGGUGACGCGCCGGAAUUGGGUCGUCUUACCUUCGGUUAAGUGACUUAAAAUUUUUGCAUGAUUUUCGAACGUAUUUAAAUCGCUUACGUACGUUUGAGAUAUCGAGUACUUUAUUAGGUUCGGUCAUCUUCAUGCUUC
rnacentral:misc_RNA from 1 species